GGCUACGCAAGACCUUCAGUUCCGGAUUAGGAGGCCCCGCCCCCCGGCCCGAGGGAGGGGCGGAGAGACCCGCUCCUGCGACUUAGGGCGAUGCCACCUUAAAGGGCUUGACCUCCUCGAAGCCAGAACUGCGGAAGAGGAUGGAGAAAGAAACGCUAGAUAGACCCAGGAUUCGAACCCACAACAGCUUGGAUGCAAAGCUCAUUUUGAAUUCUGAAGAGCUGGGAGUUUAGCAGUGGACGACCAAACAAAAAAAUACCAGAAGACGGUGAAAGCAGCAGCUGGAAAUGAGAGAAAAAUUAAGAAAUAGAAAAUGCUGUUUCAUGUAUUAGGGAGUGCACAUCUUUAAAGAGAAGUGAAGAACCUUUUUGGCUAGGCGCUUUCUGGGGACCUUGGCAGUUAUCAACAAGUCACUCUGAAACUAACAGAAGGUGAGGAGGGAGUAAUCCAGAAAGGAAACUGCCAUUUUUGCUAGGGCAAGAAAGUAGACCUAGCAAUGCAAUGCCAUCAAGGAGUUAGCUGGCUCUAGCGUUCUCCGAACUUUGCAACUCAUUUUAUAUUACAUUGUCUGCGUCAAGAAAUUUCAAGUAAAUGCCUUGAGAUUUUAUAUGUAUAAAAUGUAGUCUCUGGCCAGGCGGGGUGGCUCACGCCUGUAAUCCCAGCACUUUGGGAGGCUGAGGCGAGUAGAUCACGAUGUCAGGAGAUCAAGACCAUCCUGGCUAACAUGGUGAAACCCCGUCUCUACUAAAAAAUACAAAAAAUUAGCCGGGCAUGAUGGUGGGCGCCUGUAGUCCCAGCUACUCGGGAGGCUGAGACAGGAGAAUGGUGUGAACCCGGGAGGCAGAGCUUGCAGUGAGCCGAGAUCGCGCCACUGCACUCCAGCCUGGGCGACAGAGCGAGACUCCGUCUCAAAAAAAAAAAAAAAAAAAAAAGUCUCAGAAGAAGUGUCAAGUUGACUAAAUGAUUUUUAAGUCCCUUCCACUCUACUAUAUCACAAUAAUUUCCCCUAUUUUACCUUAUUUAAUUUUCACAACAACCCUGCAGCCUGUAAGUAGGUGACUCCUCCAUGGUCAGCAGGUGGUCAGUGGUCGAACUAUUUAGGACUAUCUGAUGCUCUUUCCUCUGCUCACCAUUGCAAUACAAUGAGAAAAAUGCAAAUGAAUCUAAGUACAGUGUUCUCUGGGAAUAUGAAGAUAGAACUAAAAACUGCCUGAGAGAUCAGGGCAGGCUUCUAGAAAGUUGUGUCUAACUAGUCUUGAGGUUUACAUAAACCACACCAGGCUGAUGGGACUGGGAAGGGCCCACUAAGCAGUGAGACCAUUCCCUUUUGGAGAGUCCUUGCAUCCCCUCCCAGAUUUCCUCUUUGAGGGGAAGGUGAGAGAGGAGGUAAAAGGGGUGAGGAAUGGAGAAUAACUCAUUCUGGUUCUUGUUUCCCCUUUUCCACAUAAAAGUAUAUUUGUCUUGUGUUCCAUACACCAGUCCAUACUGAUGUGAUGGUGUUUUUUAUGCUUCCUUUUGAAUAAACAUUUCAUUCUUAAAAGGA
ensembl:lncRNA LOH12CR2 loss of heterozygosity on chromosome 12, region 2